UUUGCUGCAAAUUUUCAUAUUAGAUCAAUCAUAUUUUCUUAAAAGUUGUGAUUGUUGGGAAUUUAAUCUGUCCUUUGGUAUUAUUUAUUUGAGUAGAUGUUUCCUGUCUGUCACUUCUCACUAGCAUCUAGGCUCCCUGCUGCAUCCCAUACAUAAACAGUGCCUUGUGCACUGCCAUUUAACAAAUAUUUUUAGCAUCUACCAUAUCCACUGUGUUAAGCACUAGGAAUACUUCUAUCCCGACACUGAUUGCUGGCCCUGCUCAACUUGGUUGCCUUGGCCCAGAACAGUCUGCCACCUACGGGUUGUCCAAUCAAUAGGGGAAAUAUUUGGAAGGAUCCUUAUGAAAAUGGCUUACAAAAGGGAAAAAUGGGGGACAGGGGCACAAGAAAGAUGAGUGUGAAGGAGGAAAAGGGAAGAUUCAGGU
rnacentral:lncRNA from 1 species